rnacentral:rRNA from 1 species
GAUGAACGCUGGCGGCGUGCCUAAUACAUGCAAGUCGAGCGAACGGACGAGAGGCUUGCUUUUCUGAUGUUAGCGGCGGACGGGUGAGUAACACGUGGAUAACCUACCUAUAAGACUGGGAUAACUUCGGGAAACCGGAGCUAAUAUCGGAUAAUAUUUUGAACCGCAUGGUUCAAAAGUGAAAGACGGUCUUGCUGUCACUUAUAGAUGGAUCCGCGCUGCAUUAGCUAGUUGGUAAGGUAACGGCUUACCAAGGCAACGAUGCAUAGCCGACCUGAGAGGGUGAUCGGCCACACUGGAACUGAGACACGGUCCAGACUCCUACGGGAGGCAGCAGUAGGGAAUCUUCCGCAAUGGGCGAAAGCCUGACGGAGCAACGCCGCGUGAGUGAUGAAGGUCUUCGGAUCGUAAAACUCUGUUAUUAGGGAAGAACAUAUGUGUAAGUAACUGUGCACAUCUUGACGGUACCUAAUCAGAAAGCCACGGCUAACUACGUG